rnacentral:lncRNA from 1 species
UUUGCUAUAGCAGUUCUCAUUUGAUGUAAUUGUAAUAUUUUGUACCAUUUUAAUAUCUAGAUUCCCUUUCUACUUAAGAUCUCUUUUGAUAUUUUGAUAUAAUAUUUUGUGCCAGCUCUUAUUCUGUUCAUUCUUUUGAUACUAUACGUGAAAUUUGGCGAUUGCCUUCUUUUGUGGCACUCUGGUCCAGAAUCAAUAGCUCACCAAAUUUGUUAAAG